GAGUAUAGAAAGAAAAAAACAACAACACAUAAUUCCAUACCCAGCAAAUACAUCCCUCGAAAAUGAAGAUAUAAUGAAAACUUUUUAAGACAAAAACUGAAAAAAUUCAGUAGCAGCCAACCAGCAGUACAAGAAACAUUAAAGAAAGUUCUUCAAACAGAAAGGAUGCUAUAUAAAAUUUGGUAAACUUGCAAAGUAAUGACGAUUUCCAGAAGCAGUUAAGAAUUUAACUUUUAAUUGCUCUGAAAGACACUUGACUCCUAAAGCAAAAAUAAUAGCAAUGUACUGUGGCUUUAUAGCAUAUGCCAACGACAAAUGCUUGACAAUUGGACAAAAGUUUGAAGGAAGGAAUUGGGAGUGUACAGUUGUAUAAGUAAAGAGUAUAUAUUCAAAAUCUCAUUAACCAAACACCACCUGUUUCCCAAAAACCUAGUGAAAUAAAAUAAAUAAAAUAGUAUAUAUUAUUUAAAGAGAGGCUGUCAUUAACUAUAGAUGAAUAUUGUAAAUUCUACAGUAAACGCUAAAACAAUAAUGAAAAGAGGUACAGGUUGAGUACCCCAACCUGAACAUCCAAAUGCUGUAAAAUCUGAAUUUUUUUGAGUGCUUACAUGACAACUCAAAGGAAAUGCUGAUGGGAGUGUUUUGGAUUUCAGAUGUUCAGACUGCAAAUACUCAACUGAUAACUACAAUACAAAUAUUCCACAAUCUGAAAAAAUCCGAAAUCUGAACACUCCUAAUCCCAAACAUUUUGGGUAAGGGAUAUUCAGCCUGUAAAAAUAAGCUAAUUGUGGAUACGAUAUGAAAUCAUAUUUAAAAAUUAGCAAAAAAUGUGUAACAAAAGGAAAAGAAACAAAGAAGGUAACCAAAAAUAGAUUUAUAUCUGACCAUAUCAAUUACUAAAUGAUAUAUAAAUGACAUAAACAUACCAAUUAUAACAAAUCAUCAGAUUGGAGAAUAAAGCAACAAUAAUCAAAUUAAAGCUGGAGUGGCUAUACUACUAUUAGGCAAACACUAAUAAAAGGCUACAGUGGGCCGGGCGCGGUGGCUCAAGCCUGUAAUCCCAGCACUUUGGGAGGCCAAGGCAGGCGGAUCACGAGGUUAAGAGAUUGAGACCAUCCUAGCUAACAUGGUGAAACCCCAUCUCUACUAAAAAUAGAAAAAAAUUAGCUGGGCAUGGUGGCGGGCGCCUGUAGUCCCAGCUACUUGGGAGGCUGAGGCAGGAGAAUGGCAUGAACCUGGGAGGCAGAGCUUGCAGUGAACCGAGAUCGUGCCAUUGCACUCCAGCCUGGGCGACAGAGCAAGACUCCCUCUCAAAAAAAAAAAAAAAAAAAAAAAGGCUAUAGUGGUGAUAUUAAAAGCAAACAAAGUAGGCAUCAAAACAAGGAUUAUUACCAGAAAUAAGAGGGACAUUAAAUAAUAAUAAAGAGGUAAUUUCACCAAAAAGACAUAAAAUUAAAUGUGUAUGCACAAAACAACAGAGCUUCAAAAUAUACAAAGCCAAAACUGAUAAAGACAAAGACUAAACAACCCACAAUUAACAGCUGGAGACUUCAUUCUCAUUAAUCAAUAAAACAAAUAGAAAACCAGUAAGUCAUGAUGAACUCUUGCCGUGAUGGAAAAAAGAAAAGAAAACCAGUAAGGAUAUAGAAGACCUCAACAACAUUAUUAAUCAACAUCAUUAAAACAUACACCAAGAUGGAUCAUACUCUGGGCCAUGUAAUUCACUGCACCAAUUUAAAAGAAUUGAAACCACACAAAGUAUAUUCUCAUAUCACAACAAAAUUAAAUGAGAAUCAAUAACAAAACAAUCUCAGGAAAAUCCCCCACUACCCUUAGAAAUUAAAUAACCCAUGGGUCAAAAAAAACCCCAUGAGUUAGAAG
rnacentral:lncRNA from 1 species